rnacentral:lncRNA from 1 species
AACUAUUUUCCUAAUAAUAUGAAAUAACUACGUAACAUGCUGGAGUCCAAAAGGUGUGAACUACUUGCCCAAAAUGCGACUUGGUCUAAACUGAUGAUUGGCCAAUCAAAUCCAAUAAUUGUAGUGCCAUGCAUGGAAAUCUUGAAUUGGAUUAUUGGGCUGUUUCAGCAACGUAAAUUUUGCAAUGAAGUGCUACAUUAAUUCUGUAACCGAUGGAAUAAAAAAUAACCUUAUAUACCUUUGUGAUUGUCAGCUUAGAACAUGAAUCAGCACUUUGGGAUAAUUACAUCUCCAUGAGAUAAUCACUUACUCACAACCUGCUGCCAAUUAUUUUAUUAGAACCAUAACAGUGCUAAUAAUUGACCAUUUGGAUUAAUAGCCAAAUUAUUUUACUAGGAAAAUAGCAUGCUUGUUUGGAAUUAAAAAAUGAAUAAAAUAUUCAUUUUUUUAUAUGUUUCCUUCCACAUGCUUAAUGAGCUCUUGAUCUCAUCA